GCCUCCUAGUCUAGGAUUGCCAUUAAUGGGUCGUUUUACAAGAGCUGUUUGACCUGCACAGCAUUUGCUCAUUUUAAGGAUGUAUUUCUCCCAUCACCUUUCCAAUUCUCAUAUCCAAACCCGCCGUGGACCCCAACACAAAAUUACAGACACGUCCUUUUCAGACAGGUUCUCCAGCCAAGGAAUUUUCAGUGCAUUGUGCAGAGGAGGCACAUUCUUAGGAGUUUUCUUCGGAAGAGUGAAGAAACCUCUCCAGUGGGUUUUCUGCAUUGCCCCAGCAGCACAUCCCUGCUCUCAGGCUGUGCGUUCUCAGCCACAGGGGCAGAGGAGCCACAUCCAGGUGGAAGCUGUGGCAGGAGAAGUGAGUGGGACAGGUUCCACUAUGGUGCACAAGCACUGCUGAAAAAAAGCCUUCAAAGCUCAUGGAUCAGCUUUAGCAGUCAAAGCUUUUUAAAUGAACUAAGAAAAUGUCUCUGAAUUCCUUUACCACAUCUCUACACUCGGAAACCUUGGAAUUAAUUGAAAUCUUUCAGCAAAGAGCUAAUGAUUAAAAUAGAGAGCACCAGGAAACUAUCAGAAGAUCCUUCUCGAAAAAGAAAAGGAAGACUUGCACCUCCCUUCAUCUUCCCUCAGGAUCAACUCUUUGCACACGCCAAGAUGUUCUAAACUGAAAUUGUGGUUAAGUUGUCAGAAGAGAGAAAGCCACAUCUUGCCUUCUGCCAUCUUACCUUUCUUCUCUAUUCAUCCACCUUCUCAGGUGCACAUCCUUCCUUGCAGCCAGGCUUGUGUCCAUCCUGGGGGAUAUUUUCCAGAAGCUGGUGGAUGUGUGAUGAUCUCCCAUGUGCACAGUAACUGCUCACAGCCCAGCACUGCUGUGUGCUUUUCUUUUCCACCUCUCUGCAGGUCCUCUCCAGAGCAUUAGGACUUAAAUUUUCCUUCUGCCAUGAUGGUGCCUACUCUGUUGGAAUAUUUCCUCCUGAGCAGUUCAUUAGCCCGGUACUUUCAGCAAAACAAGAUCCCUUGUAUAUGCUAAACAGAAUGAAAACCCAGGUGGAAUCAAGAGCAGUGGAGUAUGAAACAACAGAGCAAGCUGACAUUUUGAAGUUUCAAUUCCUUUCAUAGGCUGAAAUUUUGAUGUU